rnacentral:rRNA from 1 species
UGGGGAAUUUUGGACAAUGGGCGAAAGCCUGAUCCAGCAAUGCCGCGUGUGUGAAGAAGGCCUUCGGGUUGUAAAGCACUUUUGUCCGGAAAGAAAUCCUUGGUUCUAAUAUAGCCGGGGGGAUGACGGUACCGGAAGAAUAAGCACCGGCUAACUACGUGCCAGCAGCCGCGGUAAUACGUAGGGUGCGAGCGUUAAUCGGAAUUACUGGGCGUAAAGCGUGCGCAGGCGGUUUGCUAAGACCGAUGUGAAAUCCCCGGGCUCAACCUGGGAACUGCAUUGGUGACUGGCAGGCUAGAGUAUGGCAGAGGGGGGUAGAAUUCCACGUGUAGCAGUGAAAUGCGUAGAGAUGUGGAGGAAUACCGAUGGCGAAGGCAGCCCCCUGGGCCAAUACUGACGCUCAUGCACGAAAGCGUGGGGAGCAAACAGGAUUAGAUACCCUGGUAGUCCACGCCCUAAACGAUGUCAACUAGUUGUUGGGGAUUCAUUUCCUUAGUAACGUAGCUAACGCGUGAAGUUGACCGCCUGGGGAGUACGGUCGCAAGAUUAAAACUCAAAUGAAUUGACGGGGUCAUAGCUGUUUCCU